rnacentral:tRNA from 1 species
GCCCCUGUAGCUCAGAGGAUAGAGCGAUGGUUUCCUAAACCGUGCGCCCGGGUUCGAGUCCCGGCAGGGGUA